UACGAAGGGGGCUAGCGUUGUUCGGAAUUACUGGGCGUAAAGCGCACGUAGGCGGGUUGUUAAGUCAGGGGUGAAAUCCUGGAGCUCAACUCCAGAACUGCCUUUGAUACUGGCAACCUAGAGACUGGAAGAGGUUAGUGGAAUUCCCAGUGUAGAGGUGAAAUUCGUAGAUAUCGGGAGGAACACCAGUGGCGAAGGCGGCUCUCUGGGCCGCUCCUGACGCUGAGACGCGAAGGCCAGGGUAGCGAACGGG
rnacentral:rRNA from 1 species